rnacentral:snoRNA from 1 species
GCCUUCCAUAUUCCUUACCCGUCAGACCUAAACACUGGUCUGCGCCGUUAUUAGAGGAGGAAAUGUAAAGUUGACAUUGACUUACAUUCUUUUGUGACGCACAAGUUAGAUUCGAACAAAC